rnacentral:tRNA from 1 species
UGUCACCCUUGGUGAAAACGGCUGUUAUGUCCGGACUGCGGAUCUGGAAAAACAUUUUCCGGCAGUUCCAUUUCCGUCUGUUGAUAA